UACGUAGGGUGCAAGCGUUAAUCGGAAUUACUGGGCGUAAAGCGUGCGCAGGCGGUUGUGCAAGACCGAUGUGAAAUCCCCGGGCUUAACCUGGGAAUGGCAUUGGUGACUGCACGGCUAGAGUGUGUCAGAGGGGGGUAGAAUUCCACGUGUAGCAGUGAAAUGCGUAGAUAUGCGGAGGAACACCGAUGGCGAAGGCAAUCCCCUGGACCUGUACUGACGGCUCAUGCACGAAAAGGCGUGGGGGAGCAAACGAGGAU
rnacentral:rRNA from 1 species